CGAAAUAUGUCCCGUUAUUAUGGCCCGUCAUUAUGGAAUCAAUUGAAAAAAAACAAUAUAAAAAAUUUGAAAAUCACUUUAUCUUAUAAACGACAAAUGAAAAUACAUCUCCUUAAUUUCGGACAUAUAUAACAAUGGGCAUUGGACAUCUCAAGACAUCCGACAAACAUCGAGUGGACGUCCAGACUCAUAUUUAUUAACAAUCAUGUCAACAAUAAUAUCGACAUGUCGCUACGUUAGAA